UCAUCUCCUCCUUGUCCUGAGCCAGCCUGC
rnacentral:piRNA from 1 species